GACGAACGCUGGCGGCGUGCUUAACACAUGCAAGUCGAACGGAAAGGCCCUGCUUUUGUGGGGUGCUCGAGUGGCGAACGGGUGAGUAACACGUGAGUAACCUGCCCUUGACUUUGGGAUAACUUCAGGAAACUGGGGCUAAUACCGGAUAGGAGCUCCUGCUGCAUGGUGGGGGUUGGAAAGUUUCGGCGGUUGGGGAUGGACUCGCGGCUUAUCAGCUUGUUGGUGGGGUAGUGGCUUACCAAGGCUUUGACGGGUAGCCGGCCUGAGAGGGUGACCGGCCACAUUGGGACUGAGCUACGGCCCAGACUCCUACGGGCGGCAGCAGUGCGGAAUAUUGCACAAUGGGCGGAAGCCUGAUGCAGCCACGCCGCGUGCGGGAUGACGGCCUUCGGGUUGUAAACCGCUUUCGCCUGUGACGAAGCGUGAGUGACGGUAAUGGGUAAAGAAGCACCGGCUAACUACGUG
rnacentral:rRNA from 1 species